rnacentral:rRNA from 1 species
UACGGAGGGGGCUAGCGUUGUUCGGAAUUACUGGGCGUAAAGCGCGCGUAGGCCGGCUUUGUAAGUUUAGAGGUGAAAAGCCCCGGAGCUCAACUCCGGAAUUGCCUUUAAGACUGCAUCGCUAGAAUCAUGGAGAGGUUAGUGGAAUUCCGAGUGUAGAGGUGAAAUUCGUAGAUAUUCGGAAAGAACACCAGUGGCGAAGGGCGACUAACU